rnacentral:ncRNA from 1 species
UAUGACUACUAGGGGCGCUAUUAGCUGAGAUGAAGACAACUUCAAACCCUUUGAACCUGAUUUGGAUGAUACCAACGUAGGGAAGUAGCUCGAAAAAAUG